rnacentral:rRNA from 1 species
GAUGAACGCUAGCUACAGGCUUAACACAUGCAAGUCGAGGGGAAACGACAUCGAAAGCUUGCUUUUGAUGGGCGUCGACCGGCGCACGGGUGAGUAACGCGUAUCCAACCUGCCCACCACUUGGGGAUAACCUUGCGAAAGUAAGACUAAUACCCAAUGAUAUCCCACGAAGGCAUCCGAAUGGGAUUAAAGAUUUAUCGGUGAUGGAUGGGGAUGCGUCUGAUUAGCUUGUUGGCGGGGUAACGGCCCACCAAGGCGACGAUCAGUAGGGGUUCUGAGAGGAAGGUCCCCCACAUUGGAACUGAGACACGGUCCAAACUCCUACGGGAGGCAGCAGUGAGGAAUAUUGGUCAAUGGGCGAGAGCCUGAACCAGCCAAGUAGCGUGCAGGAUGACGGCCCUAUGGGUUGUAAACUUCUUUUAUGCGGGGAUAAAGUUCGCCACGUGUGGCGUUUUGCAGGUACCGCAUGAAUAAGGACCGGCUAAUUCCGUG